UACAGAGGAUGCAAGCGUUAUCCGGAAUGAUUGGGCGUAAAGCGCACGUAGGCGGCUUUUUAAGUCAGGGGUGAAAUCCCGGGGCUCAACCCCGGAACUGCCCUUGAAACUGGAGAGCUAGAAUCUUGGAGAGGCGAGUGGAAUUCCGAGUGUAGAGGUGAAAUUCGUAGAUAUUCGGAAGAACACCAGUGGCGAAGGCGACUCGCUGGACAAGUAUUGACGCUGAGGUGCGAAAGCGUGGGGAGCAAACAGG
rnacentral:rRNA from 1 species